UACGGAGGGUGCGAGCGUUGUCCGGAAUCAUUGGGCGUAAAGGGUGCGUAGGCGGCGCGGUAAGUCGGGUGUGAAAUCUUGGAGCUUAACUCCGAAACUGCAUUCGAUACUGCCGUGCUUGAGGACUGGAGAGGAGACUGGAAUUUACGGUGUAGCGGUGAAAUGCGUAGAUAUCGUAAGGAAGACCAGUGGCGAAGGCGGGUCUCUGGACAGUUCCUGACGCUGAAGCACGAAGGCCAGGGGAGCAAACGGG
rnacentral:rRNA from 1 species